rnacentral:lncRNA from 1 species
CCACUACACAGCUGUUAAAUUGUUAAAUUGUAUGUAAUUAGACUGAACUCUGCCCAUCUGCUAAGAGGAUUCCAUAACCCUAUAGAAUAAGUGACAAUGCAAAGCUUGCCUGCAAAAAUUAGUGACAAGGUGUUUAAUCAGUGCCAAAACAGAUGUCCAUUUGAUUGAAUUUCAUCAUGUGAACUACUGU